rnacentral:rRNA from 1 species
UACGGAGGGUGCGAGCGUUGUCCGGAAUCAUUGGGCGUAAAGGGCGCGUAGGUGGCCUGCUAAGCGUGCGGUGAAAGUCGGGGGCUCAACCCCCGAUCGGCCGUGCGAACUGGGAGGCUUGAGCACUGUAGAGGCAGGCGGAAUUCCGGGGUGUAGCGGUGGAAUGCGUAGAGAUCCGGAAGAACACCGGUGGCGAAGGCGGCCUGCUGGGCAGUUUUGCUGACACUGAGGCGCGACAGCGUGGGGGAGCAAACAGGG